rnacentral:sRNA from 1 species
AUAUUUGUUGCCGAGAUAGUCGGCGAGCUCCGUCAGGUCGACGAGCUUGUCCGGAUAUUGAU